rnacentral:misc_RNA from 1 species
AAAGUCGUAACAAGGUUUCCGUAGGUGAACCUGCGGAAGGAUCAUUACCGUGAAGCGGCCGGGUCCGCCCGUGCCCGCUCCCAAAACCGUGCCUACCGACCAGUUGCUUCGACGGGACGCUGGGCCUCCAGCCCGGCGUCGACCCGUCCGGAGAACCUCACCGAACCCGUGUCACCCGCAGUCCGAGAGAGAAGCGAGAAACAAGCAAAACUUUCAACAACGGAUCUCUUGGUUCCG